AUUCCAGCUCCAAUAGCGUAUAUUAAAGUUGUUGCAGUUAAAAAGCUCGUAGUUGAAUUUCUGGUGGGAGUGUACAGUCCGACACUGAGUGUUGGUUCUUGUGUGUCUCCGGCCAUCCUUGGAGUGAAUCUGUCUGGCAUUUAGUUGUUGGGCAGAGUAUCUCCAUCGUUUACUGUGAGGAAAGGAAAGUGUUCAAAGCAGGCUUACGCCGUUGAAUCUUUUAGCAUGGAAUAAUAAGAUAGGAUCUUGAUACUAUUUUGUUGGUUUCGAACACCGGAGUAAUGAUUAACAGGGACAGUCAGGGGCACUCGUAUUCCGCCGAGAGGGGUGAAAUUCUCAGACCAGCGGAAGACGAACCACUGCGAAAGCAUUUGCCAGGGAUGUUUUCAUUG
rnacentral:rRNA from 1 species